rnacentral:tRNA from 1 species
GGAGAUCUAGCUCAGCGGUAGAGCACUUGCCCAACAUGUGCAAGGUCCUGGGUUCAAUCCCCAGUAGCACCA